rnacentral:rRNA from 1 species
AGAGUUUGAUCAUGGCUCAGAAUGAACGCUAGCGGCGUGCUUAACACAUGCAAGUCGUACGAGAACUCUUUAGCUUGCUAAAGAUAGUAAAGUGGCGCACGGGUGAGUAACGCGUGGGUAAUUUACCUCUGAAUUUGGGAUAACUCCGCGAAAGCGGAGCUAAUACCGGAUAAUAUUUCAGGAUCUUCGGGUUUUGAAAUCAAAAGUGGCCUCUACAUGUAAGCUACUGUUUGGAGAUGAGCCCGCGUACCAUUAGCUUGUUGGUAGGGUAAUGGCCUACCAAGGCUACGAUGGUUAGCUGGUCUGAGAGGAUGAUCAGCCACACUGGAACUGACACUCGGUCCAGACUCCUACGGGAGGCAGCAGUGGGGAAUUUUGCGCAAUGGGGGAAACCCUGACGCAGCAACGCCGCGUGAGUGAUGAAGGCUUUCGGGUCGUAAAGCUCUGUCAAGUGGGAAGAACAUGAGAAAUGUUAAUAUCAUUUUUCACUGACGGUACCACUGAAGGAAGCACCGGCUAACUCCGUGCCAGCAGCCGCGGUAAUACGGGGGGUGCAAGCGUUAUUCGGAAUUAUUGGGCGUAAAGGGCGCGUAGGCGGUCUUUUAAGUCAGAUGUGAAAGCCCGGGGCUUAACCCCGGAAGUGCAUUUGAAACUGAAAGACUUGAGUAUGGGAGAGGGAAGUGGAAUUCCUGGUGUAGAGGUGAAAUUCGUAGAUAUCAGGAGGAACACCGGUGGCGAAGGCGACUUCCUGGACCAAUACUGACGCUGAGGCGCGAAGGCGUGGGGAGCAAACAGGAUUAGAUACCCUGGUAGUCCACGCAGUAAACGAUGAACACUAGGUGUAGCGGGUAUUGACCCCUGCUGUGCCGCAGUUAACGCAUUAAGUGUUCCGCCUGGGGAGUACGACCGCAAGGUUAAAACUCAAAUGAAUUGACGG